UACGAAGGGGGCUAGCGUUGCUCGGAAUUACUGGGCGUAAAGGGCGCGUAGGCGGCUUGCACAGUCAGGCGUGAAAUUCCUGGGCUCAACCUGGGGACUGCGCUUGAGACGUGUGGGCUUGAGUGGGGAAGAGGGUCGUGGAAUUCCCAGUGUAGAGGUGAAAUUCGUAGAUAUUGGGAAGAACACCGGUGGCGAAGGCGGCGACCUGGUCCUUGACUGACGCUGAGGCGCGAAAGCGUGGGGAGCAAACAGG
rnacentral:rRNA from 1 species